ensembl:lncRNA
ACAACUAGACAAUAUACAAAUAAAACAAGCAGUGCUUUAUUUUUCAGGUUCAGUCGGUGUAUUUAGCAAUAGCAGUCAAGAAACCGAAUGAACCAAUAUAAAAAUACAAUAAACACUUCACUGGAUAAAUGCAUUGAUUCUUAUUAAAGCAAUUAUAUUCGUUUUUUUUUUCUUUGCCUUUUGUAUUAACAUUUAAAGGGAUACUAUCAAAGUCAAUGGGGACCAGCAACUGUAAUGAAAUGUUAACUCGGCGGUAGAUUUACAUGUGACCGGGUCGUGUUGUACAGUAUGCUGAGACGGAGACGCCAGAACUGCAACUGAUGGAAUGUGCGCUGUAGCAGGAUAAUACAAUAUUUCUUCAAAAACAGAUUGUGGUGACAUUUUAAUCAUCCACGAUCAAAAAUCCUUAUCGCACACUCCUAAUCUUCCACCUAUGGUUUAGGCCUGAAUUAUGGUCUACCACACCCAAGAAGUAACGGCAGCAUUUGUGUGCUGAGUGUGAAUAGUCAUCCAGUGCUACUGUGAUGACUUUUGAAUUCUCUCUUCCUGAAUUGCUUUGAUGUAACUGUUCUAAACUGAGUAGCAUUGGACAUCUAGCGCACACACUGCCAAGCAUUUCUUUCUAGUUCUAGUCAUGUUUGUGAAUGCAGGCACUUACAAAAUGCAUUUGUUUUGCAGUUUCCAUGCAGGAUGCUGGGAUGAGUAGACAGAUCUUUUAAAUUCAAGGGCUCAUUCACAUGAACUUGGAGGGCAUGGUGACCAUAGAUGUUGUAUUGGUAGUGUUGGAACAAAAUGACCUUUUCACCAAGAACCUGCAACUCCCUAAGGACUGUUAUUUGUCCAAAACCAAGUGUGCCAAGUCCUUUGGUGGUACUAGGUAAGGUUACUUGCUCCCAUGUGCUGAUUAUUAACCCUCUGAAACUGAUGAUGAUUAUCUUUUGGAAUCUCGUUCGUCUGAAAUCCUGUUGA